rnacentral:lncRNA from 1 species
AUGCCGGAGUGAUGGCUGAGGAGGGAGCUCAGCAGACAGAAGAGGACACAUUUUCCACGCAUAAAACCGCUUUGGCCACCAAGCCAGUCGUCAAGCUAGAAUGAACAAAGAACUGCCAUCUGCUCUGCCCCUUAUAUAAGAAAAACACCACCAGAAAGAUGUCUCCAUUGCUAGGAGAUUCAACCUCUCCAGUAUUCUCAUUCGAAAGAUGUCUUGAAUCUAGAGUACUGUUUCUCAUGGAAUGCAUUCAACCAGGCUCUGGAGAUCUGGACGCUCAGGCUUGAGGCUUCUCACAAGCUCCUAAGCACCGAUGGUGCUUUGUUCUGUGGGAAGCAGGGAUCUGAAGCAUGGAACAACAGCUUCUAAAAUCACACACCAAGAGCUGUUUCUACAGCACUACUUUAAUAAGGAUUUUCCCUUGGCAGGGAAACCACCAGGAAACCGACAAAUCUAGUUUAAAGCCCAAAUCAAAUCAUUUGCUGGAGAGAAUCUCUUGUACUGAAUGGAAGCUUCACCCAUCAAUCAAAAGCUGAUUGGUCAAUGAGCUGAGGCAGGAAAUAGGAGGUUGGAGUUUCGACAGAGAGAGGAACUCUGGGAUAGAGUCACGUUGCAAGCAUUCAACCAGAACUCUGAGGAAGCCGGCCACGUGAAACUGAAGCUGUCUAUUCAUCUGUGAAAGAAGGGAAGAAAGUGACUACUCUUUAUCUGGGAGAAGAAAUGAAGUGCUGCUACUUACUCUUUGCGUCUAUUGUGCGAUCCUCUCUCGGAGAGAAAAGACUGGAAUGACAAGCUUUGGAAAAUGACACCUACUGCUUUUUCCUUAUUACCACGCAGACUAACUUUCUCAAAUGAGGAAAUGCUUGCUUGACAGCCUGUCAGAAUAAAUGAAAACUUUAAACCGUUUGUCUUCACGGUACUCUAAUGACCUGUAAUAUUGAUCAUUCAGGCUCUGUUCUCUGAGUUAAGUGGAUAAGAAAAUUCAGGAAGAUUAAG